UGCACCUAUCUUUCUGCCUCUCUUAUGCUGUUUUCCAUGCUUUGCAUUUAAUGACUAAAUUUGCUUUGGUGACAGGUUUCCUUCAACUACAACUUUAUCAAUAUUAUCAACCAAAUAUUAAGUAUCCAAGUCUUCAUUUUUAUUAUUCACAAUUUCCAUCAAAUUUCCUACUUUCAUUGCUAGUGGUAAAAUCUCUUCUAGUAUCAUAUCUUACUUCUCAGCCUUAUCAUGAUUUAAUAGCACUAAUUCGUUUGCUUGAUUUUGGGAAUCCUCUUCAUUCUUCCUUUGUUGUUGACCAUGUGACUGCUGUUUGUGAUUGUCCUUAACUUGUGUGGCUGAUUCUUUUCCUUGUUGGUCAUUCUCUAUACUGAUUUUGUCCCUUUGAAUUUG
rnacentral:lncRNA from 1 species